AUUGAACGCUGGCGGAAUGCUUUACACAUGCAAGUCGAGCGGCAGCGCGGGGCAACCUGGCGGCGAGCGGCGAACGGGUGAGUAAUGCAUCGGAACAUGUCCAUGGAUGGGGGAUAGCCCGGCGAAAGCCGGAUUAAUACCGCAUGAGCCCGAGAGGGGAAAGUAGGGGACCGCAAGGCCUCACGUCGAUGGGUUGGCCGAUGCCCGAUUAGCUAGUUGGUGAGGUAAUGGCUCACCAAGGCGAUGAUCGGUAGCUGGUCUGAGAGGAUGAUCAGCCACACUGGGACUGAGACACGGCCCAGACUCCUACGGGAGGCAGCAGUGGGGAAUUUUGGACAAUGGGGGCAACCCUGAUCCAGCCAUUCCGCGUGAGCGAAGAAGGCCUUCGGGUUGUAAAGCUCUUUUGUCCGGAGCGAAACGGGGCGCGUGAAUAUCGCGCUCUACUGACGGUACCGGAAGAAUAAGCACCGGCUAACUACGUGCCAGCCGCCGCCGUAA
rnacentral:rRNA from 1 species